rnacentral:rRNA from 1 species
UGAAACUGCGAACGGCUCAUUAGAGCAGAUGUGAUUUAUUCGGAAAAUCCUAUUGGAUAACUGCGGUAAUUCUGGAGCUAAUACAUGCGUAUAAACCCUGACUUUCGAAAGGGUGCAAUUAUUAGAGCAAAUCAAUCAUUUUCGGAUGUAGUUUGCUGACUCUGAAUAACGCAGCAUAUCGGCGGCUUGUUCGCCGAUAAUCCGAAAAAGUGUCUGCCCUAUCAACCUGAUGGUAGUCUAUUAGUCUACCAUGGUUAUUACGGGUAACGGAGAAUAAGGGUUCGACUCCGGAGAGGGAGCCUUAGAAACGGCUACCACAUCCAAGGAAGGCAGCAGGCGCGAAACUUAUCCAAUCUUGAAUAGAUGAGAUAGUGACUAAAAAUAAAAAGACCAUUCCUAUGGAACGGUUAUUUCAAUGAGUUGAUCAUAAACCUUUUUUCGAGUAUCCAGUGGAG